UUAUCUCCCCCAAGAGUCCACAUCGACGGGGAGGUUUGGCACCUCGAUGUCGGCUCAUCACAUCCUGGGGCUGUAGUAGGUCCCAAGGGUUGGGCUGUUCGCCCAUUAAAGUGGUACGCGAGCUGGGUUCAGAACGUCGUGAGACAGUUCGGUCCCUAUCCGUCGCAGGCGUAGGAAAUUUGAGAAGACCUGUCCUUAGUACGAGAGGACCGGGAUGGACGUAUCUCUGGUGUACCAGUUGUCCUGCCAAGGGCAUGGCUGGGUAGCUAUGUACGGAAUGGAUAAGCGCUGAAAGCAUCUAAGCGCGAAGCCAACUUCAAGAUAAGAUUUCCCACCGCAAGGGUAAGACCCCAGAAAGACUAUCUGGUUGAUAGGUCGAAGGUGUAAGUGCAGCAAUGUAUUUAGCUUAUCGAUACUAAUAGGUCGAGGACUUGACCAAU
rnacentral:rRNA from 1 species